UAGGGAAUCUUCGGCAAUGGGGGGAACCCUGACCGAGCAACGCCGCGUGAGUGAAGAAGGCUUUCGGAUCGUAAAGCUCUGUUGUUAAGGAAGAACGAGUGUGAGAAUGGAAAGUUCAUGCUGUGACGGUACUUAACCAGAAAGGGACGGCUAACUACGUGCCAGCAUCCGCGGUAAUACGUAUGGAGCAAGCGUUAUCCGGAUUCAUUGGGCGUAAAGCGCUCGUAGGCGGUCUGUUAGGUCGGAAAGUUAAAUCCGGGGGCUCAACCCCCGUCCGCUUCCGAUACCGGCAGACUUGAGUUUGGUAGGGGAAGGUGGAAUUCCUAGUGUAGCGGUGGAAUGCGCAGAUAUUAGGAAGAACACCGGUGGCGAAGGCGGCCUUCUGGGCCAUAACUGACGCUGAGGAGCGAAAGCUAGGGGAGCGAACAGG
rnacentral:rRNA from 1 species